rnacentral:sRNA from 1 species
CUUGUCCAUGUCAGCCGGCCUCUCCUUGCGGGCCUGCUUGGGUGCUUUGGUCCUUUUGUGGGAACUGUAGUUUCCCAUGGCAGGGCUGGUCACUACUGGGGACGAUGGCCCACACUCCGUCUGCUCUGCCCCCUGGCCCUGGCAACAUUGUGACCUCACGGGCUGACCUCACCAAUUGCAGGCUCUGAGCACCGCCUUCCAGGGCCCACAGGAGUAUGAGAGGGCCUCCAAAGUGGACCAGUUUGUGACACGCUUCCUGCUGCGGGAGACGGUGAGCCAGCUGCAAGCCCUGCAGAGCUCGCUGGAGGGGGCGUCAGAUACCCUGGAGGCCCAGGCCCAUGGCUGGCGGCUUAUCCCGUCCUGGGGCCCCAGUCCUCGGCCCUGUGAGCCUCACUUCCUCUAGGUCAGACGCAGAGAGCGUGGAGGCGCAGAGCAGGCUCUGCGGCAGCCGGCAGGCAGGACGCCGAGCCCUGAGGAGUGUCAGCCGGUCAUCCACCUGGUCCCCCGGCUCUUCUGACACAGGGCGCAGCUCAGAGGCCGAGAUGCAGUGGCGGCUCCAGGUGAACCGCCUCCAGGAGCUCAUCGACCAGCUCGAG